UGAAUCUUUUCUGCAAUAGUGUGAC
rnacentral:miRNA from 1 species